CGACAUGGUGACUGAGAAACAGAGCAGUCCAAAUAUAACAGAAGUAACUAAUGAUGUAUCACCAUCAACUCAGCAGCAUUUUACAAAUCAAUUAUAAAUCAAAAUAGGUCCACGUAGGUUGUGGCACCAGGUCUGGAAGGAGAUAUCAUUACAUCUCACGAGAGAUCUUGAACCAGGUUUGAUGGAGUUCACUCGAUGAGUCUGCUCGUUCACAAAUAUGCAGUUGAUAAAGCCUAUUGAUCGCCUCCUAUUUCCACAAAUGAAAACUUAAAAUGAAAACUCACAUUGAAAAAUCGUAAUCACUCAAAAGCCUGUCAUUUACGAAAGAGAUUGGGACUUCAUCGUCCGUUUGUUUUGAGGACAGUACACACCUGUGAUGCAGGCUAUAUUACAGAUAUAUGUAUUUGUUUAACAUUUUGUUAUAGUCAGAAUGGAAACCUGGAGAGUUGUUGCGCUCAUCCAGGAGGAGAUAUAAUCAUAUCUCAUAAGAUCUCCAAUCAUCAUGUUCUGAAGUUCUCUUUUAAAGAACCACAGGUAAGGAUAGACCUCACUAAUGAUAUGUUCCUAAUGUUGUCAGAACAAUUGUUACUUUUACAUAGGAGUACCUAGGUCAUGGUGCUACCUUAGGUCAACGAUGACUUAAAUGUUAAACUAAAUUUGAUGAGAUGUCUUUUACCUCAGGCAAUGAUGCUGAAGUUUGAAAUAAAUCUUUUUGGCAAAGGAACAACAAUAACAAAUGGAUUGAUGAGUUCACUAUAAAUUGUGUAUUCA
ensembl:lncRNA